ACGGGUACUUGUACCUGGNGGCGAGCGGCGGACGGGUGAGUAAUGCCUAGGAAUCUGCCUGGUAGUGGGGGAUAACGCUCGGAAACGGACGCUAAUACCGCAUACKUYCUACGGKAUANAGCAGGGGACCUUCGGGCCUUGCGCUAUCAKANGAGCCUAGGUCGGAUUAGCUAGUNGGUGAGGUAAUGGCUCACCAAGGCGACGAUCCGUMACUSGCCUGANAGGRUGAGCAGUCACACUGGAACUGAGACACGGUCCAGACUGGUACGGGAGGCAGCAGUGGGGAAUAUBGGACAAUGGGCGAAASCUGAUCCAGCCAUGCCGCGUGUGUGAAGAAGGUCUUCGGAUUGUNAACACUUUAAGUKGGGAGGAAGGGCAGUUACCUAAUACGUAUCU
rnacentral:rRNA from 1 species